rnacentral:rRNA from 1 species
GACGAACGCUGGCGGCGUGCUUAACACAUGCAAGUCGAACGGAAAGGCCCUGCUUUUGUGGGGUGCUCGAGUGGCGAACGGGUGAGUAACACGUGAGUAACCUGCCCUUGACUUUGGGAUAACUUCAGGAAACUGGGGCUAAUACCGGAUAGGAGCUCCUGCUGCAUGGUGGGUGUUGGAAAGUUUCGGCGGUUGGGGAUGGACUCGCGGCUUAUCAGCUUGUUGGUGGGGUAGUGGCUUACCAAGGCUUUGACGGGUAGCCGGCAUGCGAGGGUGACCGGGCACAUUGGGACUGAGAUACGGCCCAGAGUCCUACGGGAGGCAGCAGUGGGGAAUAUUGCACAAUGGGCGGAAGCCUGAUGCAGCAACGCCGCGUGCGGGAUGACGGUCUUCGGGUUGUAAACCGCUUUAGCCUGUGACGAAGCGUGAGUGACGGUAAUGGGUAAAGAAGCACCGGCUAACUACGUG